rnacentral:rRNA from 1 species
AUGCUUAGGAAAAUGUUCCAAGGUGGUUCUUCAAGGAAGCAAGGACCCAGGCUUGCAAUGCGUGAUGCUGACGAUGAGCCACCAAGGGACGCUCUAGUGCGGCCUUGUGAAUGGCCUUCAGAGAACUUUAUGGAUCGAGCGGGAAUCAAGGAAGAAUUUAACGCAUAUUUGCGUAACGCUGAUCUUGUGAGCUUCAAGGCAGAGAAGUGCAGCCAAUACCACUAUCUCACUAGUUCCUUUGUGAGGAGGUUUGAAUUUUCAUCUUCACGUAAUUCUCCAACGGUCCUGUUUGAUCUUUAUGAAAAAUCUUAUACCAUGGACUUAGAGGAUUUUACUACUGCUUGCAAACUUCCACAAUGGGGUAGUGCUAGUGAACCCCGCAAAUCUGAAUUUAGAAAUUUUCUUGCUAGUAUAACUGUGGGGGAAUCUAGAGAUAUAGCACAAGCUACCAUAGGGAACAUUCAUUUUCCUGCUAUACAUUAUUUUGCUCUCUUCAUAGGUAGGUGCAUAAAUGGUAAAGAUGAAGCAUGUCAUAUGUGUGUCCCUGACCUUAGUAUUCUUAGGAGUGCCGUGUUGGGAGACAAAUCUUAUAAUUUGGGAGCCAUUGUUGCAUGUAGGUUGCAUCAUAAUAGAUUUAAUGGAGAUUUCUUUGGAGGAAUUUAUGCAACCCGCUUAGCUGAUUUUCUUGGUGUGGACGUUCGUGAGGAUGAUAUUGAGUUGCCUCCUACUUAUUUAGACUAUAAUGCUAUGGUCCACCACUAG